UACAUUUUUCUAUAUUAAUAUAACGCAACUAUUACUAUAGUUAUAAACUUAUAAUUAAAUCAUAAUGGGUGCUCUCUCGGUUGGAACAUCAGGCUCUUUGCUCCAGCCUAUACCGUAAGUCACCUUUUUUGCUUUUUUGUUGAUCGCUAAAUUGGGCUAGAAAACAGGCCACAUUGGGCCUAGCCCAAGUUACAAUAUAAAGUUCCAUUUAAGAAGAGUUUGUUUACACGUCCAAAAAAAAAGUUUGUUUAUUUCGUAGAGGUCCAAUUACUAUAUACAAGGGAUAGUUUGUAAGGCCAUGGGCCGAGGCCCAGUUAUUGUAACUGCCUUUAAUCCAUUGCGUAUGGUCAUUGUUACUGCAUUGGCUUGCAUCAUUCCCUCUUAAAAACUCUAUAUCUGAAGGCAAAAUUGCACCUACAUCCUGCCUUGUGCAUGCAGCAACCCAUUGGCCAGCGGUAAACUCUUAAAUAGAGCUCAGAUCUGCGACGUAUUAGUGCUUGACCUAUCGGGUUGGAAGAUACCGUGAGAAACAAAAAAAAAAAUAGUUUUUUUUUUUGUGUCUAAAAAUAUUGAUCUAAUUUUUCCUUUUUUGAUUGGGUUGAAUUAUUGUUAUACUCUAGAAGUUUUCUCUCCGUACAAAAGAGCAUUUAUCGGGGUUCCAUGGAAUCUCCAAGCAAGCAAGCUGAACAAGGCACAUCAGAAUAGGAGCUUGACCUCCUUCAUCGCAGCAAAAAGAAAGUCAGAAAGAAAGGAGAAGGGUUCUCGGGGGUGGUUGCCAGAGUUCCACGGGAGGAGCCAUGGAUGAUGGAUAAUGAACCUGCAGAAGAAGAAACAGGGGCAUGGAAAGGAAUUAGAUCUUUUGCCAAAACUGUCAAAAGGGGGCCAAAGUGCAACCGAAUGGAAGAUGGGGAAAAGAAUCCAGCACAGAAACAAGCUUUGAUGGGUGACAGUUCAUAAGAAGAGGAAAUCGAAGAAGUCCAAGACACCAUGGGAGGUUCUGACGGUAAAUAUAUGAUCAAUGGAACAUGCUUUAAAGUGGAAUAUGAGGAGCUGCACCAAAUAUGUUUUACUUGUGGAAGAGCAGAUCAUGAUUAAAAAAAUUGUAUAGUGAGAAAAAAGCAAAGGGAAAGCGAGAUAGAAGAAGGUCAGCAAAAAGAAAAUGUAGAAACAGUCAAGCAAGACAUUGAACAAGAAGGAAACAAUGGAGAUAAUGCCAACAAAGCUAAGGAGAAAGGCAAGCAAAUAACACAAUAAUCAAGUGAUAACUUUAGCCCCUAGAUGAUUGUCCAAAGGCAAAAAAGAGGUAGAAAAGGUGAUAAGGAGGGAGAUUUCAAAAAUGGGACAGGAACUAGCAAAGCGAGUGAAAAAUAUAAAGGCAAUUCCAGAUUCCAAGCUCUGGAGGUAGAAGAUGGAGAGGAAGGAGGGGAAGGGGAAGUAUCCAUGGAUAUAAAUGAGAACCCAACAACAAGAAUACAAGGAAACACAAAGCAAUAUAUAACUAAGACUAAUUCAAGGAGCAACACACAAUAGAAGCAAAAGCAGCAAGCAGGAGAAAAUCAGUAUAUCCCUGUCAUGUUUCCACAGAACCAACAAAUAAACAACCUACGAAAACAGCAGAUCAUUUCAACAGAAAGCAAGGAGGAAAGGAUAAAUAAAAAAAAUAUUGCACAGGAAAAAAUUAUCACUCUCCAUCAGAACAAUUGACAAAAUCAUAACUAUGAGAGUCCCUUUACAGAACACAUGGAAGAAGAGGUUGAGAUAACCCAGCGAGCAAAUCCUCCACAUGGAAAACCUCUUGAUCCGAUUGUGGAUGAUAAGAAUAAGAGCACAACUAGAGAUCUAGAGAUGAAAAAAACUCUAUUGAAAGACAUAGACUUCACCACCCCACCCAUCAGUGGGACAGGGGAAAAGGAAAUGCAAAUCAAUUAAUCUUCUGCCCUAGUGGUAGUUGCGGUUUCUUC